rnacentral:misc_RNA from 1 species
AAUGUGCGAUAAGCACUGUGAAUUGCAGAAUUCAGCGAAUCAGUAGAUCUCUCAACGCAACCGGUGUCAGGUAGACUUGUCUACUUGACAGAUAUGCUUCAGUAUUGCAUUAAUGCACUAAACAUGCAUUUUUGUUUUCCGUUCGCGGAAAACGUGAGGUUCGCUAAAUAAUAAUGGCGAAUGGGUAUAGCUCGACGCUUUUAACUUGUUAUUAUCGUCAGAGUAAUUUCUAAUCAAUCUGAAGUAUGUCAGAAUACCCGCUGAACUUAA